AUCCUUGCGGGUGCUAUACAUGCAGUCGAACGCGCAGCGAAAGGUGCUUGCACCUUUCAAGCGAGUGGCGAACGGGUGAGUAACACGUGGAUAACCUGCCUCAAGGCUGGGGAUAACAUUUGGAAACAGAUGCUAAUACCGAAUAAAACUUAGUAUCGCAUGAUACAAAGUUGAAAGGCGCUACGGCGUCACCUAGAGAUGGGUCCGCGGUGCAUUAGUUAGUUGGUGGGGUAAAGGCCUACCAAGACAAUGAUGCAUAGCCGAGUUGAGAGACUGAUCGGCCACAUUGGGACUGAGACACGGCCCAAACUCCUACGGGAGGCUGCAGUAGGGAAUCUUCCACAAUGGGCGAAAGCCUGAUGGAGCAACGCCGCGUGUGUGAUGAAGGCUUUAGGGUCGUAAAGCACUGUUGUAUGGGAAGAAAUGCUAGAAUAGGGAAUGAUUCUAGUUCGACGGUACCAUACCAGAAAGGGACGGCUAAAUACGUGCCAGCAGCCGCGGUAAUACGUAUGUCCCGAGCGUUAUCCGGAUUUAUUGGGCGUAAAGCGAGCGCAGACGGUUGAUUAAGUCUGAUGUGAAAGCCCGGAGCUCAACUCCGGAAUGGCAUUGGAAACUGGUUAACUUGAGUGUUGUAGAGGUAAGUGGAACUCCAUGUGUAGCGGUGGAAUGCGUAGAUAUAUGGAAGAACACCAGUGGCGAAGGCGGCUUACUGGACAACAACUGACGUUGAGGCUCGAAAGUGUGGGUAGCAAACAGGAUUAGAUACCCUGGUAGUCCACACCGUAAACGAUGAAUACUAGGUGUUAGGAGGUUUCCGCCUCUUAGUGCCGAAGCUAACGCAUUAAGUAUUCCGCCUGGGGAGUACGACCGCAAGGUUGAAACUCAAAGGAAUUGACGGGGACCCGCACAAGCGGUGGAGCAUGUGGUUUAAUUCGAAGCAACGCGAAGAACCUUACCAGGUCUUGACAUCCUUUGAAGCUUCUAGAGAUAGAAGUGUUCUCUUCGGAGACAAAGUGACAGUGUGCAUGGUCGUCGUCAGCUCGUGUCGUGAGAUGUUGGGUUAAGUCCCGCACGAGCGCACCCUUAUGUUAGUGCCAGCAUUCAGUGGCACUCUAGCGAGACUGCCGGUGACAAUCGGAGAGCGGGACGACGUCGGAUCAUCAUGCCUUAUGACUGGCUACCACGUGCCUACAUGACGUAUACAACGAAGUUGCCAA
rnacentral:rRNA from 1 species